rnacentral:rRNA from 1 species
UACAGAGGGUGCAAGCGUUAAUCGGAAUUACUGGGCGUAAAGGGUGUGUAGGUGGUUUGAUAAGUUAGGUGUGAAAGUCCUGGGCUUAACCUGGGAAUUGCGCCUAAUACUGUCGGGCUAGAGUCCGGAAGAGGCGAGUGGAAUUCCCGGUGUAGCGGUGAAAUGCGCAGAUAUCGGGAGGAACACCUAUGGCGAAGGCAGCUCGCUGGGACGGUACUGACGCUGAGACGCGAAAGCGUGGGGAGCAAACAGG